CCUACGGGAGGCAGCAGUGAGGAAUAUUGGUCAAUGGACGAGAGUCUGAACCAGCCAAGUAGCGUGAAGGAUGACUGCCCUAUGGGUUGUAAACUUCUUUUAUAUGGGAAUAAAAUGUUCCACGUGUGGGAUUUUGUAUGUACCAUAUGAAUAAGGAUCGGCUAACUCAGUGCCAGCAGCCGAGGUAAUACGGAGGCUCCGAGCGUUAUCCGGAUUUAUUGGGUUUAAAGGGAGCGUAGGUGGAUUGUUAAGUCAGUUGUGAAAGUUUGCGGCUCAACCGUAAAAUUGCAGUUGAAACUGGGAGUCUUGAGUACAGUAGAGGUAGGCGGAAUUCGUGGUGUAGCGGUGAAAUGCUUAGAUAUCACGAAGAACUCCGAUUGCGAAGGCAGCUCACUGGACUGCAACUGACGCUGAGGCUCGAAAGUGUGGGUAUCAAACAGGAUUAGAUACCCCUGUAGUC
rnacentral:rRNA from 1 species